rnacentral:rRNA from 1 species
AUGUUGUUGUGUCCGGCCUGCCGGCAACCUGUCCGUGCAGGCGCCCCCAAUAUAGCGCGUAGGGCGCCGCAUAGCGCCGUGGCGCGCACCCCCAUAGCUCACCUGCACGCCUUCUGGGCCAGCCCAUGUGAGGUCCCCAAAAUAAACCAAAAACAGAAAAGGAAAAAGGAAAAGGAAAAAAGGGGGGCGCCCGCCCCAUGCAUGGGCCGCCCCAACAGGGCGCACGGGUGUGGGCGCAGGGACCAAUCGCCGAUAGAGCAAGUACGGCUGACUGUACCAACAACAGAUGAUCCAACACUCCCUACGUUGACAUUGAGAGUAUGGAUCAUCGGGAUCACAGGCUGCAUCAUCAUGUCUUUAGUCAGUGUAAUGACUGGUUUUCGUCAGAACCCAGUUGGUGUCUCAAAUUUCGUAGUUACAAUAUCGUGCUACUCUCUCGGAAAGUUCAUGGCAUCAGUGCUUCCAUCCAAUCUAAGGGUUCGAGGAACCAGAAUUAAGAUUUCCAUAAACCCAGGUCCCUUCAACAUAAAGGAACAUCUACUGAGUACGGUGAUCUUCAGUUCUGGUUUAGGAACCAUGCCAGCAGCAAAUCUUUAUGCUGCCACAAGGGCCUAUUUCAGGAUAUCAAUUCACCCAAUGGCAUUCUUCUUUCUCCUACUCACGACGAAUAGUAUUAUAUAUGGAUUUGCUGGCUUCUUCAUAAAGCCCUUUGUGAAUCGCUCAGAGAUGUGGUGGCCUGAAGUACUAUCAGACGUAACAAUGUUCAGGGCAUUUCAUGAGAAGGAUGAAAAAUCAAAUGCAAAGCUAUCAAGAAGCCAAUUUUUCUUCAUGGUCUUUGUCAUUAGUUUUUCGUACUACAUCAUUCCGGGCUACUUCUUCCCUUCUAUUAGUGCAGUGUCAGUUGUCUGCCUAAUUUGGAAAAGAUCUAUCAUUGCUCAGCAACUUGGCUCGGGGUUAAAUGGUUUUGGGAUUGGUUCAUUUGGCCUUGAUUGGUCAACAUCUACCAGCUACACUGGAAACCCUAUAUAUUACCCUUUCUUUGUCAUUUUCAACACAAUGGUUGGAUUUAUUAUAUUCAUGUAUAUUGUUGUCCCUUUUGCUUACUGGUCAAAUUCAUUUAAGGCAAAGAGUUUUCCAAUUAUCAGCCCAGAAGUGUACGACGUCUACGGUGGUAGAUAUAACUUGUCCAGGGUAUUGGAUGGAAGUAGUUUUCAAUUUAAGCAAGAUGGGUAUGAAAGUUAUUCAGAAUUGUACCUGAGUAUUGCACGAGCAUGCUCUAUUGGAUUUGGAUUUGCAGCUCUAGCAGCAUCUCUUACAAACAUUGUACUCUCUCAUGGCAGGUCAUUUUGGAAUCAAUUAAGCCAAUCAACUGAGGAGAGAGGCUGUUCUGAUAUUCAUAUGCAAAUGAUGAAUAAGUACAGAAGCAUUCCAAUGUGGUGGUUUAUUCUUCUUACAAUAUCAAUGAUAGGUCUAGCAGUGUUCACGUGCGAAGGAUUUGGAAAUGAACUUCAACUUCCUUACUGGGGAGUCAUGCUUGCGUGCUUGCUUGUACUUACGUUGGUACCCCCAUUAGCAGCACUUCGUGCCACCGCCUGCUAG